rnacentral:rRNA from 1 species
AGAGUUUGAUCCUGGCUCAGAACGAACGCUGGCGGCAGGCUUAACACAUGCAAGUUGAACGUGAUUUGUUGGGUGCUUGCACCGAGCAAUGAAAGUAGCGCACUGGUGAGUAACACGUGGGAACGUACCUUUUGGUGGGGAACAACAGUUGGAAACGACUGCUAAUACCGCAUAAGCCCUGAGGGGGAAAGAUUUAUCGCCGAAAGAACGGCCCGCGGAAGAUUAGGUAGUUGGUGGGGUAACGGCCUACCAAGCCGACGAUCUAUAGCUGGUCUGAGAGGACGAUCAGCCACAUUGGAACUGAGACACGGUCCAAACUCCUACGGGAGGCAGCAGUGAGGAAUAUUGGGCAAUGGAGGCAACUCUGACCCAGCCAUGCCGCGUGAGUGAAGAAGGUUUUCGGAUUGUAAAGCUCUUUCGGGUGUGACGAUGAUGACGGUAGCACCUAAAGAAGCCCCGGCUAACUUCGUGCCAGCAGCCGCGGUAAUACGAAGGGGGCAAGCGUUGUUCGGAAUUACUGGGCGUAAAGGGAGUGUAGGCGGUUAUGUAAGAUAGUGGUGAAAUCCCAGAGCUUAACUUUGGAAUUGCCAUUAUGACUAUGUGGCUAGAAUUACAGAGAGGAUAGUGGAAUACCCAGUGUAGAGGUGAAAUUCGUAGAUAUUGGGUAGAACACCAGUGGCGAAGGCGACUAUCUGGCUGUAUAUUGACGCUGAGGCUCGAAAGCAUGGGGAUCAAACAGGAUUAGAUACCCUGGUAGUCCAUGCUGUAAACGAUGAGUGCUUGUUGUCGGUAUUGUAUCGGUGACGAAGUUAACGCGUUAAGCACUCCGCCUGGGGAGUACGGUCGCAAGAUUAAAACUCAAAGGAAUUGACGGGGACCCGCACAAGCGGUGGAGCAUGUGGUUUAAUU